GGAGAAGUGUCCUGGUGGAGAAGUGUCCUGGUGGACAGGCGUCCUGCCGGAGAGGUGUCCUGCUGGAGAGGUGUCCCAGCACAGAGUUUCCAGAUCAGCCUCGAGGAUGAAAACGUCCUGCUCACCCAAUAUUGUGCAGCGUGUUUUGCAGUUGCCUGAAGAAGAAGCCAGGGCAAAGAAAAGUGCCCCAUUUCCUGCAGACAGCCUCUGCUGGACUUGAAACUGCCCAUCCUGGAGCUUCUUCCAAUGGAGUUGCAUCCUACAAAUAUGGAUGCUGUGAAGAGCCAUGGACCCCUCUCCUGAAGCCGCCUUGC